AGCUCCGCAAGUGUAUUCCUAUACUGUUGCGUUUAAAUAGCUCGUAGUUGGAUCUGAGUGUUCAGCGUACGGUGCAGCCUUGUGUUGUUACUGUGCGCGACACAUAUAUGCCAGUGUACAGAUGAUGCUCGAAAGAGUGUUAUCGGUUGCUGGCGAGUUUACUUUGAACAAAUCAGAGUGCUCAAGACGGGCGUUUUUGCUCGAAUGUUCUUGCAUGGAAUAAUAGAAUAGGACCUCGUGUUCUAUUUUGUUGGUUUUCGGAACCGAGGUAAUGAUUAAGAGGGACAGACGGGGGCAUUUGUACUGCGACGUGAGAGGUGAAAUUCUUGGAUCGUCGCAAGACAAACUACUGCGAAAGCAUUUGCCAAGAAUGUUUUCAUUAAUCAAGAACGAAAGUAGG
rnacentral:rRNA from 1 species